rnacentral:rRNA from 1 species
CCUACGGGUGGCAGCAGUGGGGAAUAUUGGGCAAUGGGCGCAAGCCUGACCCAGCAACGCCGCGUGAAGGAAGAAGGCUUUCGGGUUGUAAACUUCUUUUCUCAGGGACGAAGCAAGUGACGGUACCUGAGGACUAAGCCACGGCUAACUACGUGCCAGCAGCCGCGGUAAUACGUAGGUGGCAAGCGUUAUCCGGAUUUACUGGGUGUAAAGGGCGUGUAGGCGGGAAAGCAAGUCAGAUGUGAAAACCAUGGGCUCAACCUGUGGCCUGCAUUUGAAACUGUUUUUCUGGAGUACUGGAGAGGCAGACGGAAUUCCUAGUGUAGCGGUGAAAUGCGUAGAUAUUAGGAGGAACACCAGUGGCGAAGGCGGUCUGCUGGACAGCAACUGACGCUGAGGCGCGAAAGCGUGGGGAGCAAACAGGAUUAGAUACCCUGGUAGUC